GUCGAGAAUCAUUCGCAAUGGGCGAAAGCCUGACGGUGCGACGCCGCGUGGAGGAUGACGGCCCUAGGGUUGUAAACUCCUGUCAUCAGUGAGUAAGGCUGUCGGUAGUCACUGACCGACAGAUUGAUAGUAGCUGAAGAGGAAGAGACGGCUAACUCUGUGCCAGCAGCCGCGGUAAUACAGAGGUCUCAAGCGUUGUUCGGAAUUACUGGGCGUAAAGCGUGCGUAGGCGGCGGGGUAAGUCAGAUGUGAAAGCCCGGGGCUCAACCUCGGAACUGCAUCCGAUACUGCCUCGCUAGAGUAGUGGAGGGGAGUCUGGAAUUCACGGUGUAGCAGUGAAAUGCGUAGAUAUCGUGAGGAACACUAGUGGCGAAGGCGAGACUCUGGACACUUACUGACGCUGAGGCACGAAGGCUAGGGUAGCGAAAGGGAUUAGAAACCCCGGUAGUCC
rnacentral:rRNA from 1 species